ACGCUAGUCGCGAGCGCUCGGCAUCGCAUCAAACUACGAAUCUGGGGUCAGGAGUUCGAAUCUCUUCGGGCGCGCCA
rnacentral:tRNA from 1 species